rnacentral:misc_RNA from 1 species
CGCAGCCGCGGUAAUUCCAGCUCCAAUAGCGUAUAUUAAAGUUGUUGCAGUUAAAAAGCUCGUAGUUGAAUUUCGAGAUCAAAUUGUUGGUCGUGCCUUGGUACGCACUGGCAUUAUUGGUUUCUCCCUUCUGACGAACCAUGAUGUCAUUAAUUUGGUGUCUUGGGGAAUCAGGGCUGUUACUUUGAAAAAUUAGAGUGUUUAAAGCAGGCUCACGCUUGAAUACAUUAGCAUGGAAUAAUGAAAUAGGACGUUUGAUUCUAUUUUGUUGGUUUCUAGGAUCGACGUAAUGAUUAAUAGGGAUAGUUGGGGGCAUUAGUAUUCAAUUGUCAGAGGUGAAAUUCUUGGAUUUAUUGAAGACUAACUACUGCGAAAGCAUUUGCCAAGGAUGUUUUCAUUAAUCAAGAACGAAAGUUAGGGGAUCGAAGACGAUCAGAUACCGUCGUAGUCUUAACCAUAAACUACGCCGACUAGGGAUCGGAUGAUGUUAAUUUUUAAUGACUCAUUCGGCGCCUUACGG